UCGGGAAUUUUGCGCAAUGGACGAAAGUCUGACGCAGCAACGCCGCGUGAGGGAUGACGGCCUUCGGGUUGUAAACCUCUUUAUCAGGGAAGAUCAUGACGGUACCUGAUGAAUAAGUCACGGCUAACUACGUGCCAGCAGCCGCGGUAAUACGUAGGUGACAAGCGUUGUCCGGAUUUACUGGGCGUAAAGAGCGCGCAGGCGGUCGAUCAAGUCGAGUGUGAAAGCCCCCGGCUCAACUGGGGAGGGUCAUUCGAAACUGGUCGACUCGAAGGCAGGAGAGGGUAGUGGAAUUCCCGGUGUAGUGGUGAAAUGCGUAGAUAUCGGGAGGAACACCAGUGGCGAAGGCGACUACCUGGCCUGUUCUUGACGCUGAGGCGCGAAAGCUAGGGGAGCAAACGGGAUUAGAUACCCCCGUAGUCCCUGAGCGGGCUGGCAAGGCGCAU
rnacentral:rRNA from 1 species